UGAGGAAUAUUGGUCAAUGGGCGAGAGCCUGAACCAGCCAAGUCGCGUGAAGGAAGAAGGCUCUAUGGUUCGUAAACUUCUUUUGCAGGGGAAUAAAGUGCGGGACGUGUCCUGUUUUGUAUGUACGCUGAGAAUAAGGAUCGGCUAACUCCGUGCCAGCAGCCGCGGUAAUACGGAGGAUCCGAGCGUUAUCCGGAUUUAUUGGGUUUAAAGGGUGCGUAGGUGGUUUGAUAAGUCAGCGGUGAAAGUUUGCAGCUUAACUGUAAAAAUGCCGUUGAAACUGUCGGACUUGAGUGUAGAUGAGGUAGGCGGAAUGCGUGGUGUAGCGGUGAAAUGCAUAGAUAUCACGCAGAACUCCGAUUGCGAAGGCAGCUUACUAAGCUACAACUGACACUGAAGCACGAAAGCGUGGGGAUCAAACA
rnacentral:rRNA from 1 species